CCUACGGGUGGCAGCAGUCGAGAAUCAUUCACAAUGGGGGAAACCCUGAUGGUGCGACGCCGCGUGGGGGAAUGCAGCUCUUUGGAUUGUAAACCUCUGUUAUGUGGGAGUAAAUUAAAAAGCUAGUACCACAAGAGGAAUAGCCGGCUAACUCGGUGCCAGCAGCCGCGGUACAACAGAGGUGUUAAGCGUUGUUCGGAAUCAUGGGGCGUAAUGCGUGCGUAGGCUGUUUGGUAAGUCAGGUGUGAAAGGUGAGGGCUCAACCGGCAGACGGCACUGGAUACUGCGAGACUAGAGUAAAGGAGAGGGGGGCGGAAUUCGCGGUGUAGCAGUGAAAUGCGUAGAUAUCAAGAAGAACACUCAUGGCGAAGGCAGGUUCCUGGACAUUAACUGACGCUGAGGCACGAAAGCGAGGGGAGCGAAAGGGAUUAGAUACCCUUGUAGUC
rnacentral:rRNA from 1 species